GAUAAGGAGAGGUUUACAAGAUUUACACGUAUAAUCUAUCACAAUUAUAAGGUGUUACUCAUUUUUUUCCUCUCUACACUUUUAAACAUGUUUAAUUAAGGUAUCGUAGAAAACGAAGGUUGUCUCCAAUGACACUUGGAUCUUGAGGGUCUUUGGUUUUUGAGCUUCAACAGGGUCAGGUCUCUCUCUUCAGGAACAUUAGGUCCUUCCUCCAAGAAUACCACUUGCCUUGUAGUUGCCUAGUUUGGGUACAAAUGAACAUACUACACUUAAUUAACAAUACUACUUUAUUGAUAUGCAAAACACAAGUAUAAAUAAUUCAUUGAGUGUUUUUGCGGUGUACUUUAUUCCAUGUGUUCAUCUCAGAGUUCCCCAGUAGCAAGCCG
rnacentral:lncRNA from 1 species